rnacentral:rRNA from 1 species
GGACUACGGGGGUAUCUAAUCCCUUUCGCGACCCUGGCCUUCAUCCCUUACUGUCAGAACUGUCCUCGUAAGAUGCCUUCGCUCUUGUUAGUCUGUCCGAGAUUAACACAUUUUACCGCUACUUCGAACAUACUUCUUACGUCUUCCAGUCUCUAGCUAUUGUAGUAUUCUUUGCUCGCCCCGCCCUUGAGAAACGGGAUUUCACAGAGAACUUGCAAAGCAAGCUACGGAUGUUUUAGACCCAAUAAAAAUGGCUGCGACUUGGACCGCGAGUAUUACCGCGGCGGCUGGCACUCGUCUUACCCAGUCCUUAUUCGUAAAACUUUUUACAUUUCACAAAAGCUUUCCAUUUGGAAAGCACUCCAGUUCAAACUGUCACGCUUGCGCGUAUUGCAGAUGAUUCCCGGCUGCUGCACCCCGUAGG